rnacentral:rRNA from 1 species
GCACCAAUAGCCCAACCUGUGAAUUGACACUUGUGUUAAAUUGUGGAAAAACUGGUCCGCCAAAUCUGUAAUCCAAGUCCUCUGGAAUGGGGCAGCAAAGAGGGUGAUACUCCCGUAUGAUUGUAGGUGUGAGGGCUAAUUGGGGAGUCGAGUUGUUUGGGAUUGCAGCUCUAAUCGGGUGGUAAAUUCCAUCCAAGGCUAAAUAUCUGUGAGAGACCGAUAGCACACAAGUACCGUGAGGGAAAGAUGCAAAGCCGCGCGAAAGCGCUGUCAAAGAGUACCUGAAAUUGCUGAAAAGGAAGCAAAGGAAACCAGUGGCUGCCACACUGCACUUCCCUGACUGCAUGCAUUUGGGGCGC